rnacentral:rRNA from 1 species
GACGAACCGAGCGAACGUUGUUCGGAAUCACUGGGCUUAAAGGGCGCGUAGGCGGGCUGCCGCGUCCGGGGUGAAAUCCUCCGGCUCAACCGGGGAACGGCCUCGGGUACGGGCGGCCUCGAGGGGGGUAGGGGCGUGCGGAACUGUGGGUGGAGCGGUGAAAUGCGUUGAUAUCAUUUGGAACGCCAAUGGUGAAAACAGGCAGCUGGGAGUGUGCUGACGCUGAGACACGAAAGCCAGGGGAGCGAACGGG